rnacentral:lncRNA from 1 species
CUGUUUUUUCGCUACUCCUCCCACAUUUCUCGACCAAUCAACACCAAACUUUGCACACGACAUCUUCAGACGCACACGCAAAGAAUGCACGAAACACUCUUUUGAUGCGACCUUUGACGACGAAACGGUAGCGUUUUGAAUAUUGGUAUAUUAGCUAAAUUAGACGUGGAAUAUCAAAAAUCCAAAGAAAUCCAAAAUUAGACAUCGGAUCGAGUCCAAAUUUUACACACAUGUUGGUGCUAACCUUAAUGUCGUACGAUAAAAAUUUCGGAAAAGUUCGCCAUUAGGGGGCGCCAUAAACGAGGAAAUUGUAUAUCUUCUACAAAAUUUAGCCGCGAAAACGCUACACUGACUUCUCGCUACUCCUACCACAGUCAAAUCCUUUGUAUCCACAGGUUCAGGGUAGCGUUUUGAACACAAGCAUCGCGUUGUGCCGGCGAAACGCACAUUUCUUGUCGCGUUGUGCCGGCGAAAUGCACACUUCUUGGACCCCUGCAUAACUGCUUGCAGUUCUAGUUAGGGGUCCAAGCCAACAGGUUGGAUCCCUAUUGUUUUUGUAAGGAUUAUUAGGGGUCCAAGCCAACAGGUUGGAUCCCUAUUGUUUUUGUAAGGAUUUUUAUUAUACUUCCCGCGGUGAAAGUGGAACCACAGCCCAAACCGUAAAUGGUGCACACGCGCCAAUUGCAUGACUAGAUCCAGAAUCGGCACCGCUACUCAGAUAACAAAAUCCAGACACGCCGGCCACUAGGUGGCGCUAUACCAAGGAAUACGCGUUUGCGGCUAUAACUCCCACACCGAACCUCCCAGAGUCCAAAAACUUGUACACACAGAUGCACUGGAGUCUGCUGAAUCUUUUGGCCUAGGCCACGCCCAUUUGCGUCUAGGAAUAUUUUUCGCUAAAUCGCGAAAACCGAUACUGUUUUUUUUUUUUUUUUUACUCCCACAUUUCUUGACCAAUCGACACCAAACUUUGCACACGACAUCUUCAGACGCACACGAAAAGGAAUCGUAUACACUUUUUUGAUCCGACCUUCGACGACGAAACGGUAGCGUUUUGAAUAUUGGUAUAUUAGCUAAAUUAGACGUGGAAAAUCAAAAAUACAAAAAAAUCCAGAAGUAGACAUCGGAUCGAGUCCUAAUUCUACACACAUGUUGGUGCUACCCUUAAUGUCGUUCGAUAAAAAAAUCGGACAAUCUCGCCAUUAGGGGGCGCCAUAAACGAGGAAAUUGUAUAUCUUCUACAAAAUUUCACUGCGAAAACGCUGCACUGACUUCUCGCUACUCCUACCACAGUCAAAUCCUUUGUAUCCACAGGUUCAGGGUAGCGUUUUGAACACAUG